GAGGACAAUCCAAGAAAUAGAAGACUUUAACGUAGCUGAGGGAUUGACGCUUGCAUCUUUCAUUCAUCCUUGAUGGUUCCUUAGGAGUCCUACUGUGGAGUGUCUGCUGCAUGGGAUUCUUCUCUACCUUUGGCUGCAUCCUGCCUUAUUCUUGCUUGCCACGUUGGGCUGGCUGGUCACCUUCUUUUGCUUUGGUCAUUCUUUAGGAGGUGAUCGUCUGCAUCCUGCCUUAUUCUUGCGCCUUAUUCUUGCUUGCCACGUUGGGCUGGCUGGUCACCUUCUUUUGCUUUGGUCAUUCUUUAGGAGGUGAUCGUCUUUGUUUUGUUUGUGCCUUCUAGCUUUUGCCUUGUUGGCUUUUCCUUUAUUUCGACACCCUUCCACUCAUUAUGCCUCGUUUGUUUUGAGUGUAAGCUGGUGUCAUUGCUUGUACAUAUUGGCUAAGCUUAAUACAAUUACUGUUCACCAAAAAAAAAGAAAAAAGACUUUUAGGAUAGAAUUUAAACUGGAUAUAGAGAUGAUGGUUUUUU
rnacentral:lncRNA from 1 species